GUACGCUUCUUUUUCCCCGGAGCUUGCUCCACCGGAAAAAGAAGAGUGGCGAACGGGUGAGUAACACGUGGGUAACCUGCCCAUCAGAAGGGGAUAACACUUGGAAACAGGUGCUAAUACCGUAUAACAAUCGAAACCGCAUGGUUUUGAUUUGAAAGGCGCUUUCGGGUGUCGCUGAUGGAUGGACCCGCGGUGCAUUAGCUAGUUGGUGAGGUAACGGCUCACCAAGGCCACGAUGCAUAGCCGACCUGAGAGGGUGAUCGGCCACAUUGGGACUGAGACACGGCCCAAACUCAUACGGGAGGCAGCAGUAGGGAAUCUUCGGCAAUGGACGAAAGUCUGACCGAGCAACGCCGCGUGAGUGAAGAAGGUUUUCGGAUCGUAAAACUCUGUUGUUAGAGAAGAACAAGGAUGAGAGUAACUGUUCAUCCCUUGACGGUAUCUAACCAGAAAGCCACGGCUAACUACGUGCCAGCAGCCGCGGUAAUACGUAGGUGGCAAGCGUUGUCCGGAUUUAUUGGGCGUAAAGCGAGCGCAGGCGGUUUCUUAAGUCUGAUGUGAAAGCCCCCGGCUCAACCGGGGAGGGUCAUUGGAAACUGGGAGACUUGAGUGCAGAAGAGGAGAGUGGAAUUCCAUGUGUAGCGGUGAAAUGCGUAGAUAUAUGGAGGAACACCAGUGGCGAAGGCGGCUCUCUGGUCUGUAACUGACGCUGAGGCUCGAAAGCGUGGGGAGCAAACAGGAUUAGAUACCCUGGUAGUCCACGCCGUAAACGAUGAGUGCUAAGUGUUGGAGGGUUUCCGCCCUUCAGUGCUGCAGCUAACGCAUUAAGCACUCCGCCUGGGGAGUACGACCGCAAGGUUGAAACUCAAAGGAAUUGACGGGGGCCCGCACAAGCGGUGGAGCAUGUGGUUUAAUUCGAAGCAACGCGAAGAACCUUACCAGGUCUUGACAUCCUUUGACCACUCUAGAGAUAGAGCUUCCCCUUCGGGGGCAAAGUGACAGGUGGUGCAUGGUUGUCGUCAGCUCGUGUCGUGAGAUGUUGGGUUAAGUCCCGCAACGAGCGCAACCCUUAUUGUUAGUUGCCAUCAUUUAGUUGGGCACUCUAGCAAGACUGCCGGUGACAAACCGGAGGAAGGUGGGGAUGACGUCAAAUCAUCAUGCCCCUUAUGACCUGGGCUACACACGUGCUACAAUGGGAAGUACAACGAGUCGCGAAGUCGCGAGGCUAAGCUAAUCUCUUAAAGCUUCUCUCAGUUCGGAUUGUAGGCUGCAACUCGCCUACAUGAAGCCGGAAUCGCUAGUAAUCGCGGAUCAGCACGCCGCGGUGAAUACGUUCCCGGGCCUUGUACACACCGCCCGUCACACCACGAGAGUUUGUAACACCCGAAGUCGGUGAGG
rnacentral:rRNA from 1 species